rnacentral:tmRNA from 1 species
GGGGGCGACUGGUUUCGACGGGAUCCGGUUAGGUGUUGGUAAGCAUGUCCAGGUCCCCGCUGGCCUGGUAAAAAAGCGGGAAAAAAUUAAAUGCAAACGAAAAUGACUAUGCGUAUGCAUUGGCUGCCUAAUUAACGGCGGUCGAGUCUUCGGCGGAUGCGCCCGUAGUUUUCCGAAGGCUUAAAGUCAGCGGGCUGGCGCGUCUUUUUAGCUUUGGGAGGACGCGUAAGAAAUACAAAGCUGGUUCAGCAAGAUCCCGGACCUUGGAGCUUGCUGGAUAAGAUACAAAUAUGGCUCUAAACAUGUAGAAAGCCAGCGCUGAAGUUUCUCGGACGGGGGUUCGAUUCCCCCCGCCUCCACAC